UACGAAGGGGGCUAGCGUUGCUCGGAAUCACUGGGCGUAAAGGGUGCGUAGGCGGGUCUUUAAGUCAGGGGUGAAAUCCUGGAGCUCAACUCCAGAACUGCCUUUGAUACUGAGGAUCUUGAGUUCGGGAGAGGUGAGUGGAACUGCGAGUGUAGAGGUGAAAUUCGUAGAUAUUCGCAAGAACACCACUGGCGAAGGCGGCUCACUGGCCCGAUACUGACGCUGAGGCACGAAAGCGUGGGGAGCAAACGGG
rnacentral:rRNA from 1 species